UGCAAGUCGAACGAUGAUGCCCAGCUUGCUGGGCGGAUUAGUGGCGAACGGGUGAGUAAUACGUGAGUAACCUGCCCUUGACUCUGGGAUAAGCCUGGGAAACUGGGUCUAAUACUGGAUACUACCUCUUACCGCAUGGUGGGUGGUGGAAAGGGUUUUACUGGUUUUGGAUGGGCUCACGGCCUAUCAGCUUGUUGGUGGGGUAAUGGCUCACCAAGGCGACGACGGGUAGCCGGCCUGAGAGGGUGACCGGCCACACUGGGACUGAGACACGGCCCAGACUCCUACGGGAGGCAGCAGUGGGGAAUAUUGCACAAUGGGCGGAAGCCUGAUGCAGCGACGCCGCGUGAGGGAUGACGGCCUUCGGGUUGUAAACCUCUUUCAGUAGGGAAGAAGCGAGAGUGACGGUACCUGCAGAAGAAGCGCCGGCUAACUACGUGCCAGCAGCCGCGGUAAUACGUAGGGCGCAAGCGUUGUCCGGAAUUAUUGGGCGUAAAGAGCUCGUAGGCGGUUUGUCGCGUCUGCUGUGAAAGCCCGGGGCUCAACCCCGGGUCUGCAGUGGGUACGGGCAGACUAGAGUGCAGUAGGGGAGACUGGAAUUCCUGGUGUAGCGGUGAAAUGCGCAGAUAUCAGGAGGAACACCGAUGGCGAAGGCAGGUCUCUGGGCUGUUACUGACGCUGAGGAGCGAAAGCAUGGGGAGCGAACAGGAUUAGAUACCCUGGUAGUCCAUGCCGUAAACGUUGGGCACUAGGUGUGGGGGACAUUCCAC
rnacentral:rRNA from 1 species